rnacentral:lncRNA from 1 species
AUGAUCUCAGUUCCAAAAAGUGCUUUGUGUCCAGGGAUGUUAUCUUUCAUUAAACUUCUUUUCCUUUUAAAUCUGUUUCUUCUGUUACCUCUACUCCUUCUGUUUCUCCCUCUUCUUUCCAUUUUGUUCCUCCUCUUGAGCAUUCCCUUUCUGAGCCAGAUUUCUCUAUUACCAUCUGUUCCUCUCCACCUUCACCUUGUGUUUCAGAUUCUCCUUCUUCCUAUCCAAUUUCCAGUCCUCCUUUCAACCCUGACAUUUCCCCAUCUUCACCUUCUGUUUCAGAUUCUCCUUCUUCCUAUCCAAUUUCCGGUCCUCCUUUCAACCCUGACAUUUCCCCUCCUGCUUUGCCUUCUUCCACAUCAGCUGCUGUUCCCAGGAAAUCUGGAAGACAGCACAAUCCUCCUUCUUACCUUAAGGAUUAUGUCU